GGCAAAUUAGAAAAAAACAACAAUUUGCAUUUUUGCAGUCUUGAAAGGAAAUUAAUUCAAUUUAAAGAGAUAAUGUCGAGCGACAUAGAUUCAAUGAAGCUGCAGCUAAAAUCCGUUUUAAAGCGUAAGCACAACAAUGAUAAAACCGAAAAUCAUUUGCGCACUACAGAGCGGAACCUUACAGAAGAAAUUUCAGUUAUAAGAAAUGAAAUAAGUUUGUUAUCGGAGGAAUUAGAGAUACUAGUUAAUGGUAUUUCGGAAGCGAAAAUUCAAAUAGGCGUGGUAGAGAUCUGUAAAGCUUCGGAACAGUGUAAAAUGAAAGAGCAAGUUGAAAUCCUUAACCUACACGCGGACGGAUUCAAACAACUUUUUAUGAAAGGUAACAAAAAACAAUUUAAUGUUUCGUUUUUUACGGACCGUAUUACUUAUAACGUUAGUUACGUUUCACAUAAUGCAUAAAAAAUGGUUCUUAGAACAAUCGUGUCAAGUGGAAGAUAUUAAAGCGAAAGAAGCCGAGGCGGAAGAAACAAAAAAGAAAGAGCUGCAACUUCAGGAGGAACAGAAGAAGAUCGCUAGUGCACUUGAAGAAGAAACAGAGUUGAUUGAACGUGAAUGUGCCGUCUUAAAGAAACGCAACAAUGCCAUAAUGUUAAAGUUAAGACGUCAGUUGCUUGAAACGUACAAGAUGAAGCAAAAACUAAUUAAAAACGAAUGAUAAUAAAUGGGUUUU